rnacentral:rRNA from 1 species
UACGGAGGGGGCUAGCGUUGUUCGGAAUUACUGGGCGUAAAGCGCACGUAGGCGGCUUUGUAAGUUAGAGGUGAAAGCCUGGAGCUCAACUCCAGAAUAGCCUUUAAGACUGCAUCGCUUGAAUCCAGGAGAGGUGAGUGGAAUUCCGAGUGUAGAGGUGAAAUUCGUAGAUAUUCGGAAGAACACCAGUGGCGAAGGCGGCUCACUGGACUGGUAUUGACGCUGAGGUGCGAAAGCGUGGGGAGCAAACAGG